UUUUAUGAGAGUUUGAUCCUGGCUCAGGACGAACGCUGGCGGCGUGCCUAAUACAUGCAAGUCGAACGCUUCUUUUUCCACCGGAGCUUGCUCCACCGGAAAAAGAGGAGUGGCGAACGGGUGAGUAACACGUGGGUAACCUGCCCAUCAGAAGGAGAUAACACUUGGAAACAGGUGCUAAUACCGUAUAACAAUCGAAACCGCAUGGUUUUGAUUUGAAAGGCGCUUUCGGGUGUCGCUGGUGGAUGGACCCGCGGUGCAUUAGCUAGUUGGUGAGGUAACGGCUCACCAAGGCGACGAUGCAUAGCCGACCUGAGAGGGUGAUCGGCCACAUUGGGACUGAGACACGGCCCAAACUCCUACGGGAGGCAGCAGUAGGGAAUCUUCGGCAAUGGACGAAAGUCUGACCGAGCAACGCCGCGUGAGUGAAGAAGGUUUUCGGAUCGUAAAACUCUGUUGUUAGAGAAGAACAAGGAUGAGAGUAACUGUUCAUCCCUUGACGGUAUCUAACCAGAAAGCCACGGCUAACUACGUGCCAGCAGCCGCGGUAAUACGUAGGUGGCAAGCGUUGUCCGGAUUUAUUGGGCGUAAAGCGAGCGCAGGCGGUUUCUUAAGUCUGAUGUGAAAGCCCUCGGCUCAACCGGGGAGGGUCAUUGGAAACUGGGAGACUUGAGUGCAGAAGAGGAGAGUGGAAUUCCAUGUGUAGCGGUGAAAUGCGUAGAUAUAUGGAGGAACACCAGUGGCGAAGGCGGCUCUCUGGUCUGUAACUGACGCUGAGGCUCGAAAGCGUGGGGAGCAAACAGGAUUAGAUACCCUGGUAGUCCACGCCGUAAACGAUGAGUGCUAAGUGUUGGAGGGUUUCCGCCCUUCAGUGCUGCAGCUAACGCAUUAAGCACUCCGCCUGGGGAGUACGACCGCAAGGUUGAAACUCAAAGGAAUUGACGGGGGCCCGCACAAGCGGUGGAGCAUGUGGUUUAAUUCGAAGCAACGCGAAGAACCUUACCAGGUCUUGACAUCCUUUGACCACUCUAGAGAUAGAGCUUCCCCUUCGGGGGCAAAGUGACAGGUGGUGCAUGGUUGUCGUCAGCUCGUGUCGUGAGAUGUUGGGUUAAGUCCCGCAACGAGCGCAACCCUUAUUGUUAGUUGCCAUCAUUUAGUUGGGCACUCUAGCAAGACUGCCGGUGACAAACCGGAGGAAGGUGGGGAUGACGUCAAAUCAUCAUGCCCCUUAUGACCUGGGCUACACACGUGCUACAAUGGGAAGUACAACGAGUCGCAAAGUCGCGAGGCUAAGCUAAUCUCUUAAAGCUUCUCUCAGUUCGGAUUGUAGGCUGCAACUCGCCUACAUGAAGCCGGAAUCGCUAGUAAUCGCGGAUCAG
rnacentral:rRNA from 1 species